rnacentral:sRNA from 1 species
CAUCCCUCAAAACUGUUUUUCAACAACAUCAUUCGACUUUCUUGAUAUAUUCGGCGGAUUGCCAUCGGAAUCGAGCCGGUAAACAUGCUUUCAGCAUAGGAUCUAUCGCGGCCCACAGAGAGACGAAAGAUUCUUGGAAACCAACCUCUCGUGAGGGGUUCUUCAGCUCCUAACAGGAUCUUGUCGCUGUCAUUUGCCUCGAUCGUCAAACAGCAGGCCUAUCUCACCGUCACUCGUUAACAUUCUCGAGUCGACGUCCCGCACAUCUCAACCUCUGCCCACUGUUCCUUGCGCCGUCGUGAACUCUCGAUUUCCCUGAUCUCUGAUCUUAAUUUCUGAGGAAUCGGCGCGCAUUGUUUUAGCACGAUCUGUUGACAGUGAACAUGGCUUCUUGAGCUUCGGUGUAUUCUUGGGACAUUCGAACAUUGGUGCAAACGAUCCGAAUUGCCUUCCCCCGCCCCGUGUGCCCGUCGUCGCAACCUCCAUCCCAAUCGUCACCUGUGGUGUCGAGGAGUGUUAGCAUUCGUCGAACGCAGCGAGGUCAUUCAAGUGGCGUUGGGAUUCAGGUCACUAACGUUUGUGCAAUAACUUCAAAAGUGGUACUCACUGUUAUGUCGUAUGACUAAACGGUUACCUUGUAUUGCCUUGCCGCGAACCCUAACUCCAGUUAGUGAUCCACCUCUCAUCACCCAGCCUCAGCAACAGGAUGGAAUGAGUCUCAUCUUUUGAGUUUCGGUGGGAAUCGUUGGUCCAAAAGGUCUGCCGGCCUUGACGAGGACAGCUAGCUGUUGAGCAAAAAUUGCCCAGUCGUUUCGUUCCACUCCCGGUUACGGGGGUGGGCGGGACGGCUGGGCUUUUUUGCGUUUGGUGCGUUCAACUUGGUUUUGUUUCGGCGUAGCGAAUACGUGCUGUUCAUGCAUUCAUUUCACUGUCUCU